rnacentral:rRNA from 1 species
GAUGAACGCUGGCGGCGUGCCUAAUACAUGCAAGUCGAGCGAACAGACGAGGAGCUUGCUCCUCUGACGUUAGCGUCGGACGGGUGAGUAACACGUGGAUAACCUACCUAUAAGACUGGGAUAACUUCGGGAAACCGGAGCUAAUACCGGAUAAUAUAUUGAACCGCAUGGUUCAAUAGUGAAAGACGGUUUUGCUGUCACUUAUAGAUGGAUCCGCGCCGCAUUAGCUAGUUGGUAAGGUAACGGCUUACCAAGGCAACGAUGCGUAGCCGACCUGAGAGGGUGAUCGGCCACACUGGAACUGAGACACGGUCCAGACUCCUACGGGAGGCAGCAGUAGGGAAUCUUCCGCAAUGGGCGAAAGCUUGACGGAGCAACGCCGCGUGAGUGAUGAAGGUCUUCGGAUCGUAAAACUCUGUUAUUAGGGAAGAACAAAUGUGCAAGUAACUAUGCACGUCUUGACGGUACCUAAUCAGAAAGCCACGGCUAACUACGUG